AACUAGCAGCCGCACGGGUCUGAGCUCGGCCUCUCAAUUUUGUUUCACUUUUCAAGGAUGAGUAUCUUUACUUUGAAAAUGAACUGGUCAUAUUUCUAUUGGAAAUGAAGUGAUGUUGCUUCCCAGGACCAAUUAGGAUGUAUACCUGAAGGAGUGAAUCUACUGGUUCAGCUGAAAAUUGAUCUCUAUUUGGUUUCUGUUUUUGUGUUUGGUUUUGCCGACCGCUCGUCCUUCGUAUGCUCAUCCAUCUUGGCUGCUCUGCUUGCCUGCUUCUCCACUCUAACUCAGGUUCUGCGAUCUCUUGUGUUGCUGCAUCCUGAUCUUCUGCUUUGUUGCAUCUCUGUUCUGCCAUCGAGAGGACGUGUCUGUACUUGAUGGGGUAGAAUUCAAAUUGUGAGGGAUGGUUGUGCUUAGAUUUGGUCGCUGCUGGUCGGUUCUUGAGUUCAGCGCAUGAAAACCUGCAACUACUAUCAAGCGAACCACAGGAGGGAGCAGCAGGCAUAGAAGAAAUCCCAAGCCAAUUUUGCUCAGCUGUAGCAUCUUCCACUGACAAUAAGUCUGCACAGCAGCCUGGUGAGGCUGAUGUUCUUGCUCAGUAUAAGCCAACAAUGGAGAAACUGACCAAGCUAUCUUUCAUGAUCAGUUACACACCAAGCCUAUAUUUUUGCUGCUUCUACACGUUGCUAUGAUGGUCAUUCAGCCCAUUUUCUCGAACCUGCACUACAACGAGAAAUUUGGGCUGCUUCUUUGUGGCUUCCAAACUUGAAAUGUUUGUUUGGAAGUUAAUUUAGAUUUUUGUUGUGGAUUCACAGCUUCUCACAUGUACCAUCCUC